rnacentral:rRNA from 1 species
GACGAACGCUGGCGGCGUGCCUAAUACAUGCAAGUAGGACGCAGUUGCGAACGGGUGAGUAACGCGUAGGUAACUGUCUAUUAGAGGGGGAUAACUAUUGGAAACGCUCGCUAAUACCGCAUACUAGUAGAUGGACCUGAGUUUGAUUAGCUAGUAAGUAGGGUAUUGGCCUACCUAGGCGACGAUACAUAGCCGACCUGAGAGGGUGAUCGGCCACACGGGGACUGGAACACGGCCCAGGCUCCUACGGGAGGCAGCAGUAGGGAAGCUGCGUCAAUGCGGCGAACCUUGACCGAGCAACGCCGCGUGAGUUAAGAAGGUUUUCGGAACGUAAAGCUCUGUUGUUAAGGAAGCGGUACUUAACCAGAAAGGGACGGCUAACUACGUGCCAGCAGCCGCGGUAAUUC